UCGAAAAUAUACUUUUAUUCUGCACCUCUCUACAAGGUCUUUGUCUACACAGGCAUUUUUUUCAAUAUGACCUUUAAGAAUACAAAAAUCACAGAUAGCAGACUAUAAUUAUUAAUAUAAUUACAGUUGUGAGGCAACAGUUAAAUGUAGACAUUCCAGUGGAGGGUGACAAUGCAAAGGACUCACAGAAGGCAACGUGCUGCAGCUAUACAGAUCUCAGAGGACACAGUUCACAAACCCUGAAAAAACAGUGAUGUAGUUGUUCUAGCACUUAUGAACAGAGACUCUGUCUGCUCGUUCUUGUCCUGUCUGACUUCUCUUCUUUUGGGAUUUUAGAUAUUCACUUGACUGGGUACAGUCUUAUCAUAGUCAAUAAAAAAGAUCCACAUUUUCUUAAACUGAGUCUACCUUUCAAUGACUUGCAUUUUCACCAACGGAAAAAAAUUUGAGUCUUUAACAUUUGAAGCAAACUUUUUCCAAAGCAUCUUAAAACAUGAAGGUGUGUGAAAACAGCUGCAAAAACAAAACAGAGCAGAAUAUGUCACAGAGUCAAUAUAAAUGAGUCACAUCACUCUCUCUCUCCUUGUUUGAUGAUAUAUAAAUAUUCUCAUUAUACUGUAUGUGUUGCACCGAUAAUUGCCUGGAGAGAUGAUAACACAUCCGGUUAAUGCGUUGCUGUGAAUCACUGCUCAUUCUAGCAUUUACAUAUUGGUGAGGGGCCAAACACGACUGUGGUUUGGGCUAUGUCACACGAGGCCACCUGCCCUGUCCAUGUCCACAGUCCAUGGCAUCACUGAGGCAGACCAGCAGCUCACUGUCUGAUGACAGUCAUCCACAUGCCACAACCACAUGUCUACUCCAUUCAUAGACUGGCUGUUUUCCUCAUUCCCAUGUGCAGCUCAUCUCAUAAUCUCCUGCACCUUCCAUCAGAUGAAUCAAGUGGAAGAGUUUUCACUCUGCAUAAAAAACUUUUCUUAAUAUAAUUAUUUUGCAUCUCAUCAAUGAGUCACAAAAUCUCUUCAUGUCAAGUCUUCACACUAUGAACUUUAGUUAAAUUAUUUUUUAGGUGCACAGCUUCGGUCGUAAUGAGGGAGAGACACAGAUUGAUUCUUUGGAGCCUGGGGAUUGAAACAGUGACCUUCAAACAGGACACAUAGGAGAUGGUAUGCUAUUACUCUGCUGUGGUGACAGAUCGGGCUGAUGAUGGGACGAACUUCCCAGAAGUGCAGAGCAUGAUAAAGCAGACUUGGUGAUCUGACGCCGGGGUGACAGCCGGAUGACAACCACUGUACAUUAAGUUCAGUGAAGCAGCUGGUCUUGUUUCUUCAGCAUGAAGAAGAGAGGCUCAGACAAAGCCUAUCUGAGGCCACAGAGGAGGUACACAGCGUGUGCUCGCCUCUGUUGUUGCGUUCAGUGACAGGCUGCAGAGUUGG